rnacentral:rRNA from 1 species
UGCGUGGGUGCGGUAAGCUCACUUUUGCAAGCACGUUCGAAGAUGUUGGAGGUCGAGCCAACUCGCAACACUGGAACUUAGCACACGGCCCACGACUCCUACGGGAGGCAGCAGUGGGGAAUUUUGGACAAUGGGGGAAACCCUGAUCCAGCCAUCCCGCGGGUAAGAUGAAGGCCUUCGGGUAUGUAAAGUACUUUUGGCAGAGAAGAAAAGGUAUCUCCUAAUACGAGAUACUGCUGACGGUAUCUGCAGAAUAAGCACCGGCUAACUACGUGCCAGCAGCCGCGGUAAUACGUAGGAUGCAAGCGCUAAUCGGAAUUACUGGGCGUAAAGCGUGUGUAGGCGGUUCGGAAAGAAAGAAGUGAAAUCCCAGGGCUCAACCUUGGAACUGCAUUUUUAACUGCCGAGCUAGAGUAUGUCAGAGGGGGGUAGAAUUCCACGUGUAGCAGUGAAAUGCGUAGAUAUGUGGAGGAAUACCGAUGGCGAAGGCAGCCCCCUGGGAUAAUACUGACGCUCAGACACGAAAGCGUGGGGAGCAAACAGGAUUAGAUACCCUGGUAGUCCACGCCCUAAACGAUGUCAACUAGCUGUUGGGGCCGUUAGGCCUUAGUAGCGCAGCUAACGCGUGAAGUUGACCGCCUGGAGAGUACGGUCGCAAGAUUAAAACUCAAAGGAAUUGACGGGGACCCGCACAAGCGGUGGAUGAUGUGGAUUAAUUCGAUGCAACGCGAAAAACCUUACCUAUCACUUGACAUGUCUGGAAAGCCGAAGAGAUUUGGCCGUGCUCGCGAAGAGAACCGGAAACACAGGUGCUGCAUGGCUGUCAUCACCUCCUGUCAUGAGAUGUUGGGUUAAGUCCCGCAACGACCGCAACCCUUGUCAUUAGUUGCUACGCAAGAGCACUCUAAUGAGACGGCCCGUGACAAAACCGGACGAAGGUGGGGGAUGACG